GUCUUCAUAAAAAUCUGAGUUGACCACAGCACACCGGAUAGAUGGGCUUGUUUAAAAAACGUCUCAGCUAACAGGUUAAGAAGUUUCCUUUGGAUGACGAUGACUGAAAGGAAGAUGGAUUUUCUACAUAGUCCUAGCCAAGAAUCAUGAGUACUACAUCACCUACUGACCUGUGGUUGGUAGCCAAUAA